rnacentral:lncRNA from 1 species
CGGGUGAGUGCCCAGUUCCUCCCCGCGCGGGAAUUCCUGCCAGAGCCCCUCACGGGAAUUCUCCUCUUUCCUCCCCUUCCAGCGGAACUGAACGCGGAGCUCGAGGAAUCCCGAAUACGGAUCUGUGAGUGUCCCCGGGGCUGCUUUGGUUCUGUUUUAAUCUGUUUUAUUCUAUUUUAUUCUAUUUUCUUUACUUUUCUAUUUUUAUUUUUUUUACUUUAUAUUUUAAUUUUUGAUUUUAUCGGGUUUUUAAUCCCAUUUCCCGUUUCCAAUUCUGUUUCACCACCUUCCAUCCCGGUUAUCCUGUGGUUUCCUGGCAGGGCGGUGUCUCGAGGAGCACCGUGAGUGGUCUCCCCUCCUUCCCUCCCUCCCUCCUUCCUUCCCUCCUUCCUUCCCUCCUUCCUUCCCUCCUUCCUUCCCUCCUUCCUUCCCUCCUUCCCUCCUUCCCUCCUUCCCUCCUUCCCUCCUUCCCUCCCU